ensembl:snoRNA
GCAUGGCUGAAUACUGUGUUCUUUAAUCAGUAUUUUACACAGCCAGACACCAUGCAAAAGUAAAGUCUUCCUUUUACAGUGCUACGGUGGUGUGCUAAGGUUUUUCAUAGUAUGCCACUAAUAAAAGUGAAUGCAACA